AGUCGAGCGGGCGUAGCAAUACGUCAGCGGCAGACGGGUGAGUAACGCGUGGGAACGUACCUUUUGGUUCGGAACAACACAGGGAAACUUGUGCUAAUACCGGAUAAGCCCUUACGGGGAAAGAUUUAUCGCCGAAAGAUCGGCCCGCGUCUGAUUAGCUAGUUGGUAGGGUAACGGCCUACCAAGGCGACGAUCAGUAGCUGGUCUGAGAGGAUGAUCAGCCACAUUGGGACUGAGACACGGCCCAAACUCCUACGGGAGGCAGCAGUGGGGAAUAUUGGACAAUGGGGGCAACCCUGAUCCAGCCAUGCCGCGUGAGUGAUGAAGGCCCUAGGGUUGUAAAGCUCUUUUGUGCGGGAAGAUAAUGACGGUACCGCAAGAAUAAGCCCCGGCUAACUUCGUGCCAGCAGCCCCGGUAAUACGAAGGGGGCUAGCGUUGCUCGGAAUCACUGGGCGUAAAGGGUGC
rnacentral:rRNA from 1 species